rnacentral:rRNA from 1 species
GUUAUAUGGUCAAGUGAAUAAGCGCAUACGGUGGAUGCCUUGGCAGUCAGAGGCGAUGAAAGACGUGGUAGCCUGCGAUAAGCUUCGGGGAGUCGGCAAAC